rnacentral:rRNA from 1 species
CCUACGGGAGGCAGCAGUAGGGAAUAUUGCUCAAUGGGCGAGACACUGAAGCAGCAAAGCCGCGUGAAGGAUGAAGGUUUUCGGAUUGUUAACUCCUUUUGUUAGAGAAGAUAAUGACGGUAUCUAACGAAUAAGCACCGGCUAACUCCGUGCCGGCAGCAGCGGUUAUACGGCGGGUGCAAGCGUUACUCGGAAUCACUGGGCGUAAAGAGCGCGUAGGCGGGAUAGCAAGUCAGAUGUGAAAGCCUAUGGCUUAACCAUAGAACUGCAUUUGAAACUGGUAGUCUAGAGUAUGGGAGAGGUAGGUGGAAUUCUUGGUGUAGGGGUGAAAUCCGUAGAGAUCAAGAAGAAUACUCAUUGCGAAGGCGGCCUGCUAGAACAUAACUGACGCUGAUGCGCGAAAGCGUGGGUAGCAAACAGGAUUAGAUACCCUGGUAGUC